GCAGUAGCCACGGUAACACGGAGGGGGCUAGCGUUGUUCGGAAUUACUGGGCGUAAAGCGCACGUAGGCGGCUUGGUAAGUUAGAGGUGAAAGCCUGGAGCUCAACUCCAGAAUUGCCUUUAAGACUGCCGAGCUAGCAGGUGAGAGAGGUAAGUGGAAUUCCGAGUGUAGAGGUGAAAUUCGUAGAUAUUCGGAAGAACACCAGUGGCGAAGGCGGCUUACUGGCUCAUACUGGACGCUGAGGUGCGAAAGCGUGGGGAGCAAACAGGAUUAGAUACCCCUGUAGUCCCUGUCUCUUAUAC
rnacentral:rRNA from 1 species